ensembl:lincRNA 2810030D12Rik RIKEN cDNA 2810030D12 gene
CCGAACCGAGUGCACCUGCUGCAGCCUGGCACUAGGGAUUUGAAAAUCCAUGGAGAUGGAAACCUAUGCCGAGGUUAGAAGACCUGGAUCCACUUUGCAGGAUUUUAAAUAUCCUUCAAGCCUCAGUGCCUGGCAGACUGGACUUUGGACUUCGGACUUCCAGCUCCGAUGCUGAAAAAGGAGGGUUUUUUUGUUUGUUUGUUUUUCCACUUUGCUUCCUUGCUUGUCGAGGCUGAGAACAUACGGUGUUUUUGAGGGCCACCAUCAAAGGGUACUCGCUUCUCCAAACCUUGGAACCCGAGGUCUAGCCUUGGAAAGAGUUGCCGCCUUACCAUCUCUCCUCGCCUAGGGAAGCCCCAGCUGUGUGCGCUACUGCAGGGUCACAGUGCCGCGGUGCCGAGCUUCUUUCGUGGUCCCUGUCGCCGUCCGUUUCUUGAGAUUUCAGACUCUGGGCUUGGAAACCAGUUGACUGCCUUUCUUAGCGAGGUGCCCUCGGAAACCUGUGGAGGAAUGUUUGGAUUAUGAAUGCUCACCGUGCCGAGGUAAAGCAUAGGGCUUUGGCGCCUUCGGGCCCUGUGGUCAGCGGUGGGACGGAUCGGACGUUGCAGAAGCACUUUUCUGUGGUGUUUAGAAGGUGCUACCCACCUUCAGCUGACUGUAGUUGGAAUGACCCUCAGCUGGACUUUGGGAACUCACUUGAACUAGUUAGAAACUUCAAAGUACCUAGCAGGAAGCGGCGGGGGUGGGGUGGGGGUGGGAUUAGAAUUUAGCCUGGUCCACUGGGACACUUGGAUACCCCACUGUAAAUGAUCCUGACCUCAGCGCCAAGAAUACAGGCAGCACCCGGUGGGACCGGUUCUCUCUCUCUCUCUCCCUCUCUCUGUCUCUCUCUCAAGGCUACAUACGCAGCUCUGCCCUUUACUUCAUUUUCUCUAGGUUUUGAGACUACUGUAAGACAGAUGAGAAAACCUGAGGUUUGUAUUGCUUUCCCUCCUCCUUGCUUUGACCAAACUCUGCUGAACAAGGAUUCUCUACCAAA